rnacentral:rRNA from 1 species
AUUGAACGCUGGCGGCGUGCCUAACACAUGCAAGUCGAGCGGUAACAGGUGUAGCAAUACAUGCUGACGAGCGGCGAACGGGUGAGUAAUGCUUCGGAAUCUACCCAAUGGUGGGGAAUAACCAGCCGAAAGGUUGGCUAAUACCGCAUACGUCCUACGGGAGAAAGCAGGGGAUCGUAAGACCUUGCGCCAAUGGAUGAGCCGAAGUCGGAUUAGCUAGNGGUAGGGUAACGGCCUACCAAGGCGACGAUCCGUAGCUGGUCUGAGAGGACGACCAGCCACACUGGGACUGAGACACGGCCCAGACUCCUACGGGAGGCAGCAGUGGGAAUAUUGACAAUGGGGAAACCCUGAUCCAGCGACGCCGCGUGUGUGAAGAAGGCCUGCGGGUU